GUGGGGCAUCAUCCCUUUAGGAAAGGGAAGAAGAAAAAUAAAAAUAAAAAGGUGCAACAUGCUGGGGAUCAAACCAAGAAGUCCAAGUCUAAGUUUGACCAAAGUUAGGCAAAGUACUUCUAUUGUAUGAAGCAAGAUCAUUGAAAAAGGAACUAUCCUCAGUACAAAGCUUCUCUUUAUCCGAACAGGCCAAAUAAGAAGCAAGCUAUUGUUGGGCAAUGUAAUUAUAUGAUAACACCUUGCAACUUC
rnacentral:lncRNA from 1 species